rnacentral:lncRNA from 1 species
CUUAUUUCAUGUUAUCAGUGAAAGUCGCAACAUUGGUCGUGUCCAUGAAAUGAUAAAACAUUCCUCCUUUGGAUAAAUGUUCAAACUAACACACAGCACAUCACAUAUCCCACACAGGUAGUCUGAUGAUGCACGUUUCUCUAACCCCCAUCCCUCAGCAGUAAGCUACCACCUCUUCAACUGCAGCUCAAGCAAAGCAGUAACUAUAAUACCGGGGUUUGGGGGGGGGGGGGCGUUACAGAAAAACACAGUUCCUACUGCAACUUUUUUGGGGAGGUCAUAGGACAAAAGCUUGAUAUAUUCUCUAAGCCAUGCUCUUCUCAUUUUUAACGCUCUUUUUUCCCAUUUUUGUCUGUGAGCUCCGUCUCUUCUUCGCUUUCCCACGCUGGCUGAAUGUGCCUUGACCCCCUUCAGAGAAGUUUGACACAGAGCAGGAACAUUUCCGCAUUCCUCCCGACUACAAAGGCUAACCGCCUCCUUUUGCCCUCCUUGGUUCUUUAUCAUUCAUAGUUCUCUCUCGGUUUUGUCUCAGUGUCAAAACCAGCAGCACCACAGGGGGGGAAAGCUGCGCAGCAAGAAAAGUGUAUUUGAUGGACCAGUCGAUCUAUCCGGCCAUUGAAAACUAUUCGUUGACAAUACACCAGCGGGGAAGCAGGGUGACAAGCUCGCCUCUGGCCCAUAAGGUCAGGUUCAAGGACCAGUGGCUUGGGUUGUGUCGGGGUGAUUCUCCCAAAGCGCUCCUUCGAGGGUGCUCGGUUUCACUGCUUCAUCCAAACGUGAGAUGCCAACUGCACACGUGAGAGAUAGUCCAUAGCUUUAAAUGGUGUCGCUUGUUUUCCCCAGUGUAUUUAUCCCUGUGUUUCCUGUCUCUCUGUGCCAGUUUGUCUUGUAUGUCCAAGCCUACCAGCGGUUUUCUCGUUUUCCUGCUUUGCCUUUUUGCCUUUUUCUAGUCCUCCUGGUUUUGACCCUUGCCUGCUUCUGGACUCUUUACCCGCUGCCUGACCAUUCUGCCUGCCCUGACCUCGAGCCUGCCUGCCACUCUGUACCUCCUGGACUCUGAUCUGGUUAUGACCUUUUGCCUGUCCACGACCAUUCUCU